rnacentral:rRNA from 1 species
UGAGCUUGCAUCGGGUACGGGCAGACUAGAGUGUGGUAGGGGUGACUGGAAUUCCUGGUGUAGCGGUGGAAUGCGCAGAUAUCAGGAGGAACACCGAUGGCGAAGGCAGGUCACUGGGCCACUACUGACGCUGAGGAGCGAAAGCAUGGGGAGCGAACAGGAUUAGAUCCCCUGGUAGUCCAUGCCGUAAACGUUGGGCACUAGGUGUGGGGCUCAUUCCACGAUUUCCGCGCCGCAGCUAACGCUUUAAGUGCCCCGCCUGGGGAGUACGGCCGCAAGGCUAAAACUCAAAGGAAUUGACGGGGGCCCGCACUAGCGGCGGAGCAUGCGGAUUAAUUCGAUGCAACGCGAAGAACCUUACCAAGGCUUGACAUACACCGGAAUCAUGCAGAGAUGUGUGCGUCUUCGGACUGGUGUACAGGUGGUGCAUGGUUGUCGUCAGCUCGUGUCGUGAGAUGUUGGGUUAAGUCCCGCAACGAGCGCAACCCUCGUCCUAUGUUGCCAGCACGUUAUGGUGGGGACUCAUAGGAGACUGCCGGGGUCAACUCGGAGGAAGGUGGGGAUGACGUCAAAUCAUCAUGCCCCUUAUGUCUUGGGCUUCACGCAUGCUACAAUGGCCGGUACAAAGGGCUGCGAUACCGNGAGGUGGAGCGAAUCCCAAAAAGCCGGUCUCAGUUCGGAUUGGGGUCUGCAACUCGACCCCAUGAAGUCGGAGUCGCUAGUAAUCGCAGAUCAGCAACGCUGCGGUGAAUACGUUCCCGGGCCUUGUACACACCGCCCGUCAAGUCACGAAAGUCGGUAACACCCGAAGCCGGUGG